UACGAAGGGGGCUAGCGUUGCUCGGAUUGACUGGGCGUAAAGGGCGCGUAGGCGGUUCGUACAGUCAGACGUGAAAUUCCUGGGCUCAACCUGGGGGCUGCGUUUGAUACGUGCGGACUUGAGUGCGGAAGAGGGUCGUGGAAUUCCCAGUGUAGAGGUGAAAUUCGUAGAUAUUGGGAAGAACACCGGUGGCGAAGGCGGCCAUCUGGGAGGCGACUGACGCUGAGACGCGAAAGCGUGGGGAGCAAACAGG
rnacentral:rRNA from 1 species